rnacentral:rRNA from 1 species
CACGUAGGGUGCGAGCGUUGUCCGGAAUUAUUGGGCGUAAAGAGCUCGUAGGCGGUGUGUCGCGUCGGCCGUGAAAACCUGGGGCUUAACUCUGGGCUUGCGGUCGAUACGGGCAUCACUUGAGUUCGGCAGGGGAGACUGGAAUUCCUGGUGUAGCGGUGAAAUGCGCAGAUAUCAGGAAGAACACCCGUGGCGAAGGCGGCUCUCUGGGACGGUACUGACGCUGAGACGCGAAAGCGUGGGGAGCGAACAGG